CCCUUAGAUGUUCUGGGCCGCACGCGUGCUACACUGAGUGGAUCAGCGGGCCAGGUUGCGCGAAAGCGUUUCCUAAUCUUUAAAUCCGCUCGUGAUGGGGAUUGACGGUUGCAAUUUUCUGUCAUGAACGAGGAAUACCUUGUAAGCGCGGGUCAUCAUCCCGCGCUGAAUACGUCCCUGCCCUUUGUACACACCGCCCGUCGUUCCUACCGAUUGAGUGGUCCGGUGAGGCUUUGGGAUCUGAGCGGAAAGAGCGUUUCGCUGUUUCUGCUCGGAAAACUCAGUCGAACCUUAUCAUUUAGAGGAAGGAGGAGUCGUAACA
rnacentral:rRNA from 1 species